rnacentral:rRNA from 1 species
UACGGGGGGAGCAAGCGUUGUUCGGAUUUACUGGGCGUAAAGGGCGCGUAGGCGGUCAGCACAAGUCAGUUGUGAAAUCUCCGGGCUUAACUCGGAAAGGUCAACUGAUACUGUGCGACUAGAGUGCAGAAGGGGCAACUGGAAUUCUCGGUGUAGCGGUGAAAUGCGUAGAUAUCGGGAGGAACACCUGUGGCGAAAGCGGCGCACUGGACCACAACUGACGCUGAGGCGCGAAAGCUAGGGGAGCAAACAGG